AUUGAACGCUGGCGGAAUGCUUUACACAUGCAAGUCGAACGGCAGCGCGGGUGCUUGCACCUGGCGGCGAGUGGCGAACGGGUGAGUAAUACAUCGGAACGUGCCCAGUAAUGGGGGAUAACUAAGCGAAAGCUUGGCUAAUACCGCAUACGCCCUGAGGGGGAAAGCGGGGGAUCGAAAGACCUCGCGUUAUUGGAGCGGCCGAUGUCGGAUUAGCUAGUUGGUGGGGUAAAGGCCUACCAAGGCGACGAUCCGUAGCUGGUCUGAGAGGACGACCAGCCACACUGGAACUGAGACACGGUCCAGACCCCUACGGGAGGCAGCAGUGGGGAAUUUGGACAAUGGGGGAAACCCUGAUCCAGCCAUUCCGCGUGAGUGAAGAAGGCCUUCGGGUUGUAAAGCUCUUUCGGCAGGAACGAAACGGUGAGGGUUAAUACCCUUUAUCAAUGACGGUACCUGAAGAAGAAGCACCGGCUAACUACGUGCCAGCCGCCGCAGUAAAAC
rnacentral:rRNA from 1 species